ACCCCCAAACGUAUCUUCUUCCACGUCCACACUUUUACACAGUCGCAAGUUGCUCUUGCCAGAUGCCCUUUCUCUCUUCCUCAUUCUCUCCGCUCACUCCAAAAUUGCUGCCGCCGGAUAGCUGUCGUCAGCUUGCUUCCUUGAUUCGGUGCCAUCAGCUUGCUCGUCCUCACCUGCGGCCACCCCCGCAGCUCGAUUCGCUAGUGCGGCCAUAGGAUGAACUUCAACGGCGGCUGGUUUGUCUCCACGUACGCCUCCUCGGUCUAGGCUGGUAAACAGCGAUAGAGGGGUAGCAGGGCCCAAGGUGGAGCUGCGCAAGGGAGUAGGCGAGAUCAUCCAUCUGCACGGUGUUGUUGCUCUCGACGUCCGUGCAGGUGAUGUGGGCAUGGAUUUCGCCUCUCGCAACCAGCUUUGAUCCAUCUUUAGUAUGAGGAUGGUGGAGACGUUUUCUGCCCCUAGAGCGCCAGCAAAACGCAUCCUCCACAUCGGCGACAUUCUUCGAAGUUCGAAGACUUCAAACCUAUGGAGGCCAUUCCACAAUCCCAGAUUAUAGUAGAGGAGCACACUAUAAUUCUGUGAGAUGGUACUUACUAAAGAUGGUCUGAUCUCUUGACGUAGCAGAUUACGAUUGAGGAUAGUCGACAUGAGAUUGGGGGGCUUGUGACCGAUGCAGGAAGACAAUGCUGAAGUGCCACUUGUUGGAGGAAGUUGACAUCGAAGUGUUGUUUGCUGGAGGAAGAUGAUGUAAUAAGGGUACUCUUCUAAAAUCUAAAGGACAAUGAGUUUUUGAGAUGGUCGAACCAUUGCCUGGGGAAGGUAUUUUAGGGAUGGCUGAGUUGACCACGCUUGCUCGAUGGAAAGAGAUGUUACUUGGAUGCGGAGAGAUUUUAUAUAUGUACGUGAACAUGAGAUUUUGUUUCUGCUCAGAGAUAUUGUAUCUCUGUACAAUAUUGGUAGAGUUUGGUUAUGUUUGGAGAGAUUGUAUCUUUGCAUAGGAUUGUGAGAGUUUGGUCAUUGCGUCCUGUA